CAUGUAGGCGGUUCCUUAAGUCGGUCGUGAAAAUGCGGUGCUUAACGCCGUAUGGCGAUCGAAACUGGGGGACUUGAGUGCAGGAGAGGAAAGGGGAACUCCCAGUGUAGCGGUGAAAUGCGUAGAUAUUGGGAAGAACACCGGUGGCGAAGGCGCCUUUCUGGACUGUGUCUGACGCUGAGAUGCGAAAGCCAGGGUAGCAACG
rnacentral:rRNA from 1 species